GUCCUUCGCAAAUUCUUUGGUCCUAACUCAUAUUGCAUUGAGCCUCUCCUGACAGUCGAGCCGCUUUCGCUCGUCUUGACCCGUCCGAAGGCUCAAAGAAUGAUCGACGAGACUCCCACGGGGCGGUUCGAAGAAAGUCGACUAAGAAGGAGUCAAUGAUGAUAAUCAGGGUUGAAUCAGGGGUUAGGAAGGAGAGGUUCAAAGAAUUUUCAAGCUCAUUCCUUAUUUAUGUUCAGGAGCGAAGGUACUCGUAGUUUUCAAUAUAGGAGAGGAGCGAAGCCACUCGACUGAGGUUAGGAAGGUUCAGAGCGAAGGUACUCGACUGAUAAGGAGAGGAGCGAAGGUACUCGACUGAUAAGGAGAGGAGCGAAGGUACUCGACUGAUAAGGAGAGGAGCCCUUUCCCUUUAUAUUAGAAAUAACUCGACUAAUUAAACUACCACGGACCGGUGAGAAGAAUGAGAGAAGCGACUGAAAGUUAAGGAAUUCUCCCUUCUUUCUCGCCCUUCAAAGACGAAAUAACUCGACUCCAAAUGAUAAGGAUCAAAGACUGAUCUCAGAAUUUUCAAGCUCAUUCCUUAUUCUUCAAAAAAAAAGGAGUGCAACUUGUUUAUAUCCAUAUUCAUCUGUCCGAAGGACUCUCAAAUUCUUUGAGCCUGACGCUAGGAGCAAAGAAUUUGCGAAAAGGGUCAAAGCCCUCAAGAAAAAAGGAUCAAAGAAUUAUCGAAGGCAAUUAUAUUAUAAGGCGCAAAGAAUUUGCGUAGUAGAAGGAGCAAAGAAUUUGCGAACCUGAAAGGAGAGGUGAAAGGCUCAUUGAACUCGACUGAGGUUAGGAAGGCGGAGUAGGAGAUUGAUUCUUUGCUCCUUAACAGGAGUGCAAAAAGGUGAAAAGAAUUUGAAUGAAAGAGGAGGCUCGACUGAAAGGAGUCCAAGAUUCAAGCUUCAUCAAUGAAUAAAGAGAAGCUCCUUAACAGGAGUGCAAGGCAGUCGGCUGAAUGAAUAUGAGUUCCUCAUUCCACUAUCAAAAUCAUUCAUUCCACUCAAAAAAGUCCUGAGGACGGACUCAUUCAUUCCACUAUCAGAAUCUGAGGAUAGGCUUGAUUUUCAGAAUGUAGAUGUAUCAAAGAUGGAACUAGAAGAAUUUGAGAAGCGGAGGCUCAAAGCCUACCUCUUACGCUGAAAAAAGUGGUUAACCAUCUCUUUGAAAUCCAUCCAUCUCGUCGAGACGAAAAAGGUGUCUCAACUACAGCCAACUCCCCUCUUUCCCUAUCUCAAAACUCACCCUACAACAUGGAUGAUAGAAAUGCUAACCAAACACACACACACCCUUAUACACUAAUCAAGGCUCAAAGAAUAUUGAGGCGAGACCCAUCAAAAUGCAAAAUCUCUUUCGCAAAUUCGCAAAUUCUUUGCGCCUUUGUUCAUUGAUUCAGCUUGAAUCUUGGACUCCUUUCAGACUAAUUAAGCUACUCCGCUCCAUGAAUAUGGAUCAAAACAAGUCCUUCGGACUAAUUAAGCUACGUAGAACCAAAAAGGUCCAGAUUCCUCUCUCCUUUCAGUCGAGCCUGUGGAUCAAAUCAGUGGAAUGAACAAGUCCUUCGCAUCUAGACCUCUUAUAAUUCUACGGGGUCCGACUAUCCACUGACUUCGCUAGGCCCUUGUGAAUUGAGGACUGAGAGUUUCCUCCUCAUUCUCCCACGGAGAAAAUGAGAAAAGAGCUUUCAGAGAAGACAAGAGAUCAAUGAACAAGGGAAGAAUGAGACAGGACAGAAGCCAGAAAGAGAAGAGAAAGCCUCCCAACAACAUCGAUCAGUCUGAGAGGAAGAAAAGGAAUAAAGAAAGAGCUCAAAAAAAAGGAGGCUAGAAGGGAAGAGAAAGCCCACUACGCUAGGCUUUAUCGGUAUAGGUUUGGAAGGUUUCAGAAGAGGAAGGUGAAAGAAGAAGACAAUGAAACUCAAUGAACAAGGGCUUGAUCUUAUGAGGCCUUCUACGGACUCCCAGAAAGAUCAAGCCUAUGAAAGGAAAGCCACUAAAAACCUACGCCCGGAGUCAAGGUUAUGGAAUAGCGAGACCGCUCCGUUAGGAUCAAAGAGGUCUGGAGGACCCGUCCGGAGGAUAGGCUUGAUUUUCACAAUGUAGAUGUAUCAAAGAUGGAAGAGGUCCGAAGUGGAAUAUUCAUAUGUCCUUAUCAAUGAGACCACAGGUGAAUAUGGAUUUCAGACUCCUAAAAAAUCAGAGGUUCAUAUUCCAUUUCAUGACUCCUUCUACGGGAGGCGCGAAGCGAAGCGACUCUGAAUUCGAGAAUUCUUCUCAAAUUCCACUAACCCCUCCGUUAGGAGUAUUAAGACCGGAGGACCCAUUUGAUCCCGCAAAGUCUUUGACUUUAUUCUCAAUGAGACCACUAACUAGGUUAAGUGAAAUAUUGAAGGAGAUAGAGAGGAAGAAGCUAAUAUAAGGAUAGGAGUGUGAAGGAGCGCAAUCAAUGAACAAGGCUCCGUAAGGAGUUGCGACGUGCUUUUCAAUCAAAAAGAGAAGAAAGAAGAAGGAAGAAGAUAGAGAGAAGAAAGAUCUUUUUUUCUGAAAGAGAAAAGAGAAGAGAAAAAGAAAGAGAAGUUCAUAUUAGUUCCAUGAAUGAGUCACCUGGACCUUUGUUUUUGGAGUCUGAUCUUUUCUUCUUAUUUCGCGGGAUGUUCAAUUCUUCUCUCUUUCCUAAUGGAUCACAAACAAAAGGAAUCAAUCUUUCUCUUUUCAUAUCUUUCUUUUUUUUUUGGAGUGAAUUGGUUUUCUUUGGUUUGUUCUUUCUUCUCUUCAUCGGGGAAUGUCUCCAUCAAGGUGCGCCGCUCUUCUCUCUUUCAUUCGAACUGAGAUAGUCAGCCGUAGAGUGAAAUCGGAUCGAUCACUCUUUUCUCUUUCAUCUCUUUUUUCCGUACUACCAGAAUCAAGGCCCCUUGUUCAUUGAGGCGGUGCGAAGGCAAGGCUCAAAGAAAGAUGAAUAUGGUUUUUCGCAAAUUCUUUGCUCCUAGCUACGGGGUCAAGACGACCUCCUCCGGAGUAUAUAGCUCGUGAAUAUGUCCUUAUCAACUCAACUCCUACUCCGCCUCUAUCUGACUUAGUCGAGCUGCUUCGCACCUGUGAAGUCGCUUCUCAAACCUUUGAGUGUGGAAUUCGAAAAGAAUUUUCUCAUUCUUUGAGCCUUAACAGAUGAAUAUGGAUUUCUGACUCGUCCGGAGGUUCAUAUUCCAUUGACUGAGUUCCACUCCUUUGAAUUUGAAGAAUAAGGAAGUCUUUAUUCAAUGAGCUGAGAUAAUUCUUUGAUCCUUACAGAUGAAUAUGGAUUUCUGACUCGUCCGGAGGCGGUAUAUUGUUCUGAUAAUCGUCGGGCUCCUUCACAUAAUAAGGAAUAAGGACUUUCGCUUUCAAGUCCUAACCUUUGUAUCCUUUGAUUUGGAGUCGUCCGGAGGUUAUGAAAUAACGAGAAAAAAAACAAAGAAAUUCAUGAAUUGAGAAUGAAACCUAUGAAUUUUUGUAAUCAACGACCUUGUAAUCCUUAGCGAAAAUUCAGAAAAUGCUAGGUUUUGGGCCUAUAAAGUAGCAAGAAAGAAAGUCAAAUGCCUGAUUUUUUUAUCUAUUUUCGUUAAAUAGAAAGAUGAGAAAAAGUCAGAUUUAGAAGGAAAAAAGACGGGAAAACGCAAUGAAAGAAUCAAGCCUAUCAAAGAAAUGAACAUUGUUUGAUUAUAGUUCUAGUUUCUGGUCCGGAUAAAGAGAGGAUCAAGAAAUGUUUUUCACUCAAUUAUCGUUAUAUAUCAAGAUUCGAAAAAGUCAGAUUUAGAAGGAAAAAAGUAGUUUAAUUAAUUGCAAUUCAAGAAUCAAGCCUAGGACAGGUAAAAGAAAUGAACAUAGUUUGAUUAUGGUUUGUGGUCCGUAGGUUAAUAUGGAUAGUCCUCCGGAUAAAUCCUCCGGACAGGGAUCUUCUUUGAAUAAGGACGGAUCAUGAAUUCCACUCAAAAUUCCUCUGGUCUCGUCUAUGAAUAUUAAUGGUUCUGACUUGCACUCCUCUCCUUCUUAGUCUCGGUCCUCUCCCCCUAUCGUCGGCGAGCCGCUUUCGCUCUGAACCUUCGUAGCUUGAUUCUGCUUCGCUCUGAACCUUCGUAGCUUGAUUCUGCUUCGCUCUGAACCUAUAUUUUUUUCUACGAGUACCUUCGCUCUGAACCUUCCUAACCUCAGUCGAGCCGCUUUCGCUCCUGUCCUUCGUAGCUUGAUUCUGCUUCGCUCCUGCACAGUCCUUUCGCUUCGCGCCGGAGGACAGGUGAAUAUGGAAUGAAGCUAGUCCGGACCCUUAUUUAUUCUGGACCCCUCGCAAAUUCUUUGCGCCUUGUUCUCUCCUUUCAGUCGAGCCCUCAGUCCUCUUCAAUCUACCAUAUGAACUUUGAUUGCAUUUCUGAACUUCAUCCACUAGGCUUUCUUGUUGCGGGACUGUCAACUCCUUCUCAACUCCUACGGAGCCUUGUUCUCUCCUUUCAGUCGAGCCUUCCCUUUCUUUUGUUGCGGGACUAAUUUGAGAUUGAUCUGAUCUGAGAUUCAUUUCAUUAUUAUGCUUCCUUUAUCUGAAAUUCACUUUCUUGUUCUUGGACUGAUUAUAAUGGAACUCACUAUCUUCUUAUGGGACUGAUUAUGUUAAGCAAUUCAUUCAUGGUCCUAGGCUUAAUGAACCUACUAUUUAGAGGAAAGUGAAUAUGGAAGAAGACUACUCCGGAGGAGCCGUCGGACUAAGCUUUUUCCAUGAAAUUCAGUACCAAAAUAGCUCUUUCUUCCACUUUUCUUAUAUCACUCUUUUUUUUGUCUUUUUUGACUCCCUAAAAAGCAAAAAAAGCUCUUUGCAUAGGCCUGACUAAACUGGCAUUUUCUUCCAACUCCCCUACCGCUCCGUGGGAAGGAAGAAAGAGAGAAUAUUCGAUUUUGAUGGUUGGGCAGGAAAAGUACGAUUGGAUUUUGUCGGGACUGACGGGGCUCGAACCCGCAGCUUCCGCCUUGACAGGGCGGUGCUCUGACCAAUUGAACUACAAUCCCAAGGUGUACAGCAUAGGAAGAAAGAGCUGAGUUUCCUUGCCUCAUCAAAGGCUGAUGGAUUUACUUAUCUCAAUCCCAUUUGACUUUUUAGCGCUCCUUAUCAACUCAAAUUCUUUGAGCCUCUUUCACUGAAAAAGCAUAAGGCAGACCGAGCACAAAGAGUUUCAUCAAAGCGCGCAAAUUCUUUGCGCCUCUGAAACCAAUAUGGAAGUUUCUUUGUUCGUUGAGGACCUUUGUUUUUGACUUUAUUCAUUGAUCUGAAACUACGAGCACCUAGCUAGGAGCAAAGAAUUUGCGAGAGCCUUGUUCAUUGAUUUCUUUGUCUCUUCGCUUCGCCUCUCUCGCACUCCUCUUCAGUCGAUCUUCUACGAACCCUACGGCUCCUACUACGAUUCCUUGCCCUAGGUGCCUUCCCGCUCCUUUAUCGUCUGAUUUGAGGCUAAAGCUUUCGGUUAGUAGGUUUCCUUGCCUUUGGUUUGCGCUCCGUCCGAAGGACUCCUUUUCCUCUGAUUUUCUUCGCCACAAAUUCUUUGCGCCUCUCCUAUAUCUGAAACUACGAGUACCUUCGCACCUUAAUUUCUCUACGAGCCCCCGGUCUGCAGUCGCUUGGCUUCGCGCCUUACCUACGGUGCCUUGCCUUUGUCGGCGUAAAAGUGCUUUCUUUCUUCUUUUCUUUGUCUUUGUCGGCGAGGGGAUCGGAUUUCUUCCUUUCUUCUUCUUCUCGGACCGCGGGUCGAUCCCCCCUAUCUUUUAUGGCGGGUGGGUCUGAAAGUCAACGUAAUUCGAGUUUGUUCAAGACCGUUGCUUCCCCGUUGUUAAUAAGUAUGAUCCAUAAGCUCGUAGCAAUCAGUCUGUGACCGGUCCGAAGGACUUGUUUAAAGAUAUGAACUUCUUCUUCUCUUUCAUUCCUUAUUCAUUCUCCAAGGCAAAUAUGCUUCUUUCUCUAAUUCAAAGUCUUUGAUUUGCCCCAUCUUGAAUUUCCAUUCUGAUCUUGGGAAUGAAUUCGGUAAGGAAGGAAGUACGAUUAGCGGAAGCGGAAAAGGGGCCUAGAAGCGCAACAAAGGGAUCGGGGCCCAAAAUUCACGUCCUUGGUUUUCAGGCUUUCUGAUCGAUCUACAGAAGGAGUUGAAGCACGUAAACGAGGCAGACCCGAGCCUAAGACGACCUAGUUGCAUUCAUCCGUAGGGGAGGAAGUAGGUUAGUUGUCCUAAUUCCUGAAAAUCGAAAAAGACACGAUUCCAUAGGUUUUGGCUAUAUUAGCCGACUUGUUUAUCCAUGAAAAAUGCCAUUCAAAUUCUCAUUAUUGAGAAAUGAUCUUUCUAGUGAAAAGAGUCCAAAUCUAGGUUCAAACUUUCAUCCAGACAGAGCGCUCAAAGGUGGAAAAUACCUGUCCUUUUGACUUGUUUUUAUCC